rnacentral:rRNA from 1 species
UCGGGUUGUAAAGCACUUUUGUCCGGAAAGAAAUCCUGAGGGCUAAUAUCCUUCGGGGAUGACGGUACCGGAAGAAUAAGCACCGGCUAACUACGUGCCAGCAGCGCGGUAAUCGUAGGGUGCGAGCGUUAAUCGGAAUUACUGGGCGUAAAGCGUGCGCAGGCGGUUCGCUAAGACCGAUGUGAAAUCCCCGGGCUUAACCUGGGAACUGCAUUGGUGACUGGCGGGCUAGAGUAUGGCAGAGGGGGGUAGAAUUCCACGUGUAGCAGUGAAAUGCGUAGAGAUGUGGAGGAAUACCGAUGGCGAAGGCAGCCCCCUGGGCCAAUACUGACGCUCAUGCACGAAAGCGUGGGGAGCAAACAGGAUUAGAUACCCUGGUAGUCCACGCCCUAAACGAUGUCAACUAGUUGUUGGGGAUUCAUUUCCUUAGUAACGUAGCUAACGCGUGAAGUUGACCGCCUGGGGAGUACGGUCGCAAGAUUAAAACUCAAAGGAAUUGACGGGGACCCGCACAAGCGGUGGAUGAUGUGGAUUAAUUCGAUGCAACGCGAAAAACCUUACCUACCCUUGACAUGGACGGAACCCUGCUG